GUUGAAGUGGUGUAGUGGUUUGAGCUUUGGACUGUGACUCAGGGGGUCCAGGGUUCGAAUCCUGGCUCAGUCA